CAGCAGCAACGCAAUUGCUUUCCCCCUUUCCUCAAACCAAUACUACCGCAGCAGCAGCUGCAAGAUGAAGGAAGGAAGAAACGAAGUUGAGGGAGAAGGAAAGGAGUUCCCCGCGUGUGGAGAGAGAGAGAGAGAGACGCCGUCAUCCCCAUCGCCGGAACCGCGAGGAACGUCGCCGCCGAGCCCGUCACCGUGUCGUUGUCUUCAUCGACGCCAGCUGAAGAGAGAUGCGACGGAGAGAGAGAGAGGGUCCGCAGAGGGAAGCGCCGCCGCUCCCUGAGGUUGCACCGUCGUCGCUGUCCUUGGUGACCCACGAGCCGAGAGCGCACGUGCGGGAGUGGAGGACGGCGCUGCUGUCGCCGCUGCUUCCAUGUCUUCCAACGGUGCUGCUAUCGCCGCCGUGAACCGUGGCUAGAAGAGGGAGCGAGAGAUCAGGGGAGAGGUGUGUCGCGCUCUGCUGCAGUUGAGUCGGCCUUGCUGCCUCCGCUGUUGGGGAUUGCCUCUGUCACUGUCGCCGGCGAGGAGAGAGCAGUGCGAAAAGAACAGAAUGCGAGGGAGAAACCGGUCCGCCAUUGAGCCGCCGCGUCAGAAAAGGGGUUCAUGCCACCGAAAUUUCCCUGCCGCCACCGUUGCCUUUGGAAGCCGCUGCUGAGGCCAGGGUGCUAUGGUGGUUGCUAACCGAGUCGCCGUUGAUGAUUGCGUGCGGCUAUGCUGAUUCUGAGUCGCCGUGUUACUGCCAAAGUAAGAAAACUCACUGGAAUAGCAUCAUCGGAGCUGCUGUUUAGCUGAUGCCGCUGCCUGGGUCGCUGCGGUACGACCUGCCGUUGAUGGAGCUGCUAUGUUCAGUGAUUUCUGCGAGUUCUGACUUUGCGGUAAGGGUGUUAAAUUUGUGGUUUCUGUCAUUUUGGGUUUCGAAAAGAUUUUGAUGCUGCGCGGUUUUUUAUAGUUGAUCCACCGGAGCUUCUGGCCGCCGCCGGAGCUGUUGCCGAGCCUGUUCAAAAUCGCAGCUGCUUCGUUUCGCUAGUUCAGUAAGUAUUUAUAUUUCGGAAAAGCCUCGCAUUAGUAUUCUUUUGUGUUCGGUUAAUGAAUAUGAGUUUUGAUAACGUGGGGUUGAGUCCUGAUUAUUAUAUGUUGCGAUUAGUAUUGCUAUGGUUAUUGCGAACGUGACUGGGAGCUGAGCUUUUUGGUUGCCGUAAGUUCGGGUUGAGGCGGAAAGGACUCUGUGAGACGUUUGGAUUAUGGAAUUUGCGUUUUGAGGUAGGGGCGCUUUCCAAAAACUAUGUUUUUAUAUAUUGGAAUUAUUACAUAUGGAUACUGAUGUGAGAGAAUGUGUAUUUGGUGAUUGUAUCGGCCUUAUGUAUGGCUUGAUUUGCCUUGGUUGGUUAUGAACAUCUGUUGGUUGAAUUGUUGUGCGGCUUUGUGAAAUGUAAUGUUUUGAAGUGAUUCUUUAAAGAUUUGAAAUCUGAGUUUAAUCCGUUGAGAAUUGAUUUGAUUUGAGUCAAUUAUUUAAUGAUGUGAAAAGUGGAAUGCACUUUUGAAUUCAGCCUGGUUUACUUUAAUUGACUUGAUCUUGGACAAAUAAUUUGUUACUGAACUGUUUCUUUAAAGCUUUGGAAAUGAGUAAAUCGGUUGAUAUUGAGUUGAUUUUGAAAUGGUUUUCUUGAGAUAUGCCACUGAGGCGACUGUUGGAUUUAGCUUGCUUUGAAUUGAUUUCUGGUUUUGAGCUGUUGAAAAGGAAUGAGAAACGGUUUAGUUGGGACCCGAACCGGGUGGCAAAAGUCGAAGUUUUAGGGGAGGUACUGC
rnacentral:lncRNA from 1 species